GAGGUCGGGGGAGGGAUGCAGAGGAAGUGGCGGCCCUGGGUUUGUUUGGGUUGUGGGCGGUGCGUGCACAGCCCGGGAAAAGCGGGAAAUGGCGGCGCCGAGCGCGGGGUCCCCUCCCGCCCUGCAGCAAAGGGGGCUAAUGGCUGCUGACCGGAGGCGCAGGAUAUCAGUGGUUUAUGGUAUGCAUCCUGACCAUCAGGAGACUCUGAAAAAGAACCGAGUGGUGCUAGCCAAACAGCUGUUGCUGAGUGAACUAUUGGAACAUCUCCUGGAGAAGGACAUCAUCACUCUGGAAAUGAGGGAGCUCAUCCAGGCCAAAGUGGGCAGUUUCAGCCAGAAUGUGGAACUCCUCAACUUGCUGCCCAAGAGGGGACCCCAGGCUUUUGAUGCUUUCUGUGCAGCACUGAGGGAGACCAAGCAGGGGCACCUGGAGGAUCUAUUACUCACCACUCUCUCUGGUCUUCAGCACGUACUCCCACCGUUGAGCUGUGACUACGACAUGAAUCUCCCUUUCCCAGUAUGUGAGUCCUGUACCCCUCACAAGCAGCUCCGCCUGUCGUCAGACACUAUGGAACACUCCCUAGAUAAUGGAGAUGGUCCUCCUUGCCUUCAGGUGAAGCCUUGCACUCCUGAGUUUUAUCAAACACACUGCCAGUUGGCCUACAGGUUGCAGUCUCGGCCUCGUGGCCUGGCAUUGGUGCUGAGUAAUGUGCUCUUCACUGGAGAGAAAGAACUGGAAUUUCGCUCUGGAGGGGAUGUGGACCACAGUACUCUAGUCACCCUCUUCAAACAUUUGGGCUACAAUGUCCAUGUCCUGCAUGACCAGACGGCACAGGAAAUGCAAGAGAAACUCCAGAAUUUUGCACAGUUACCUGCACACCGUGUCACAGACUCCUGCAUAGUGGCACUCCUUUCACAUGGUGUGGAGGGCAGCAUCUAUGGUGUGGACGGCAAACUGCUGCAGCUCCAAGAGGUUUUUCGGCUCUUUGACAACGCUAACUGUCCAAGCCUACAGAACAAGCCGAAAAUGUUCUUCAUCCAGGCCUGCCGUGGAGAUGAGACUGAUCGUGGUGUUGACCAGCAGGAUGGAAAGAAGCCCGGGUGUGAGGAGAGUGAUGCUGGGAAGGAGGAGAUGCUGAGGAUGAGACUGCCCACUCGCUCUGACAUGAUUUGUGGCUAUGCCUGCCUCAAAGGCACUGCUGCCAUGCGGAAUACCAAACGGGGUUCCUGGUAUAUUGAGGCACUCACUCAGGUGUUCUCUGAGAGGGCUUGUGACAUGCAUGUGGCCGACAUGCUGGUUAAGGUGAAUGCCCUCAUCAAGGAGCGUGAAGGCUAUGCCCCUGGCACAGAGUUCCACCGAUGCAAGGAGAUGUCUGAGUACUGCAGCACUCUGUGCCGUCACCUCUACCUGUUCCCAGGAUACCCUCCCACGUGAUGCCACCUCCCCAUCGUCCAUGCUGUUGGCGGCCACUGGAUCACCAGAGGCACGAUAGAGCCUUUUUUCUUCCAGAUGCAGUUUCUGUUCUGCCCCCUCAGGGAUAUGGGGACCCCCCAGGCUUGUUUCCGGUGCCCGUCAUCUCCGCCUUUGUGUGUGGGACUCCAGGCCAGCUCCUCUUGUGUGAAGCUCUCCCUGUAGAGCCGGCUCUGGCUGAACUUGUUGCCAGGAAUGUUUUGGCUGCAAUCAAAGAGCCUGGCAGGCAGUGCUAUGAACAGUACCAUUGUGGGGGAGGGCAUGCAGAUUUCUUAGUGUUUGUUACUUCGGCCCCCAGGGCUUCUGCGGGGCACUUUGGUCAUCACUCUUAUUACAGUAGUAAUGAUGUCUCAGAGAUGGUCUCAUAUCUGUUGUUUGUUUCGCUUCCCAACACCGUUUGUCCCAGAGUGAGAGUUUGGAGGGUGUCCUUAGUUAACAUAGGCAUUUUCAUUUGGCUUUGAAAAGGUAGAUGUGACUGAAAGACACACCCUCUACUGUGAGCAGAAGUGCCUGUACAUUCCCUUCAGGACCGCGGGUCCCUGUGGACAGCAGUCUUCUCACUUCGCCCUUUGGGCUGCAGGAAGCCAGCCUUUCAUCAGCGGUUGGGUCUGCAUGCUUUGCUCCUGGGAGUGUUAAAGAGCUUCCUUGGGCCUGUUUUCCCCGAGCGGUUACUGAAGCUAUAAGCUCCAAGAGGGCAGGAACCCUGGCUCUCUUACCUGUAUGGACCCAGUGCUUGGCGCUUACUAAAUCUUCAGUAAAUGUUCGUUGAAUGAAGAAAGGAGGCCAGCAGCCAACCCUUUCUAGAAUCCUACUUUUUGACAAAAUUUCCCUUUUGACAUUGUACAGUUGAGUAUUUGUACUUGUGUUUUUCCAGGUGUUCUGUUUUUGUCCACUGGUAUUUUUAGCUCCUUGAAGACAUACCAUCUGUGAGACAGCUUCUUUCACAUCCUGCAUGGUGCCUAGCGGAAUGCACACAUGCAAUAGUCAAGGUGCUCAAUAAACAUUUGUUGUGCGAGCGGGUGGCUUGAAGACUUGCUCCCUUGGGUCAGUGUAGGAUGGGCGUAUUUGAGUGAUCUAGCCUUUCCACUUCCCACUGCCAAGAUUUGUUUUGCCAUGAGGUGCCAAAUAAAUGUUCAUAUUUGUUACUGUU